rnacentral:antisense_RNA from 1 species
CGCUAUGGCAGAUCGCGCGGGGAGACCCUCGUGGUCUGCCGGUUCCGACGUCCGGUCUGUCAACCCCGCGUGGUCUGCCUCCAUU